rnacentral:rRNA from 1 species
CAGGUACAGCGGGAAGCCACCUGGCGACAGGGAGCGGAACCCGAAAGCCUGUCUCAGUUCGGAUUGGAGUCUGCAACCCGACUCCAUGAAGCUGGAUUCGCUAGUAAUCGCGCAUCAGCCACGGCGCGGUGAAUACGUUCCCGGGCCUUGUACACACCGCCCGUCACACCAUGAGAGUCGGGAACACCCGAAGUCCGUAGUCUGACCGCAAGGGGGACGCGGCCGAAGGUGGGUUCGAUAAUUGGGGUGAAGUCGUAACAAGGUACC